GUGGGGAAUCUUAGACAAUGGGCGCAAGCCUGAUCUAGCCAUGCCGCGUGAGCGAUGAAGGCCUUAGGGUUGUAAAGCUCUUUCGUGGGGGAAGAUAAUGACUGUACCCCAAGAAGAAGCCCCGGCUAACUCCGUGCCAGCAGCCGCGGUAAUACGGAGGGGGCUAGCGUUGUUCGGAAUUACUGGGCGUAAAGCGCACGUAGGCGGACCAGAAAGUCAGAGGUGAAAGCCCGGGGCUCAACCCCGGAACUGCCUUUGAAACUCCUGGUCUUGAGGUCGAGAGAGGUGGGUGGAAUUCCGAGUGUAGAGGUGAAAUUCGUAGAUAUUCGGAGGAACACCAGUGGCGAAGGCGGCCCACUGGCUCGAUACUGACGCUGAGGUGCGAAAGCGUGGGGAGCAAACAGGAUUAGAAACCCUGGUAGUCC
rnacentral:rRNA from 1 species